UACGAAGGGAGCUAGCGUUGUUCGGAAUCACUGGGCGUAAAGCGCACGUAGGCGGAUGUGUCAGUCAGGGGUGAAAUCCCGGAGCUCAACUUCGGAACUGCCCUUGAUACAGCACGUCUUGAGUCCGGAAGAGGUGGGUGGAAUUCCUAGUGUAGAGGUGAAAUUCGUAGAUAUUCGGAAGAACACCAGUGGCGAAGGCGGCUCACUGGACCGGUAUUGACGCUGAGGUGCGAAAGCGUGGGGAGCAAACAGG
rnacentral:rRNA from 1 species